rnacentral:rRNA from 1 species
GACGAACGCUGGCGGCGUGCCUAAUACAUGCAAGUCGAACGCACGAAGUUGAAGAGCUUGCUCUUUAACCAAGUGAGAGGCGGACGGGUGAGUAACACGUGGGUAACCUGCCCAUUAGAGGGGGAUAACAUUCGGAAACGGAUGCUAAUACCGCAUAGUUUCAGGGAUCGCAUGAUUCUUGAAGGAAAGGUGGCUUCGGCUACCACUAAUGGAUGGACCCGCGGCGUAUUAGCUAGUUGGUGAGGUAAUGGCUCACCAAGGCAAUGAUACGUAGCCGACCUGAGAGGGUGAUCGGCCACACUGGGACUGAGACACGGCCCAGACUCCUACGGGAGGCAGCAGUAGGGAAUCUUCCGCAAUGGACGAAAGUCUGACGGAGCAACGCCGCGUGAGUGAAGAAGGUUUUCGGAUCGUAAAACUCUGUUGUUAAAGAAGAACAAGGAUGAGAGUAACUGCUCAUCCCCUGACGGUAUUUAACCAGAAAGCCACGGCUAACUACGUGCCAGCAGCCGCGGUAAUACGUAGGUGGCAAGCGUUGUCCGGAUUUAUUGGGCGUAAAGCGAGCGCAGGCGGUUCUUUAAGUCUGAUGUGAAAGCCCCCGGCUCAACCGGGGAGGGUCAUUGGAAACUGGAGAACUUGAGUGCAGAAGAGGAGAGUGGAAUUCCACGUGUAGCGGUGGAAUGCGUAGAUAUGUGGAGGAACACCAGUGGCGAAGGCGACUCUCUGGUCUGUAACUGACGCUGAGGCUCGAAAGCGUGGGGAGCAAACAGG